ensembl:lncRNA
AGGCCGUCUCGUCGUUGUUGGUAAUCAAGCCUACCACUGUUGUGUCGUCCGCAAACUUGAUGAUUGAGUUGGAGGCGUGCGUGGCCACGCAGUCGUGGGUGAACAGGGAGUACAGGAGAGGGCUCAGAACGCACCCUUGUGGGGCCCCAGUGUUGAGGAUCAGCGGGGAGGAGAUGUUGUUGCCUACCCUCACCACCUGAGGGCGGCCCGUCAGGAAGUCCAGUACCCAGUUGCACAGGGCGGGGUCGAGACCCAGGGUCUCGAGAUUGAUGACGAGCUUGGAGGGUACUAUGGUGUUGAAUGCCGAGCUGUAGUCGAUGAACAGCAUUCUCUAACCACUAGGCUGCCUGCCUCCUCUACACUCUAACCACUAGGCUGCCUGCCUCUACACUCUAACCACUAGGCUACCUGCCGCCUCUACACUCUAACCACUAGGCUACCUGCCUCCUCUACACUCUAACCACUAGGCUGCCUGCCUCUAACCUCUGUUUAUAAAACCUUUACAUUCAGCAUUGUGUUUCAUCACUGGGGACAAUUCUCGUACACAUCAAUGCAUUUUGUAUAGUGUUGUUGGCUGGCAGUCUCUGUAUAUAAAGCGGUUCUUCAGAGGCUCACGUAUAUCUGGACUGGCUGGUUCUGGAUUCUGGUUCCCGCGGGUCUCCACUGACCUGGGGAAAAAAUGCUUUUAGUUUUUAUGCCCACAACUCAUGGAAAAGCCUUCAGGCCACCUUGAAAUGAGAUUUACUGGUUUCCCAUUGGACAGUUCAGAUGCAGGUCGUGCCGUGGGGGAGAUCUUCGUGGGAUAUACUCGGCCUUGUCUCAGGAUAGUAAGUUGAUGGUUGAAGAUAUCCCUCUAGCGGUGUGGGGGCUGUGCUUUGGCAAAGUGGGUGGGGUGAUAUUCUGCCCUGUCCGGGGGUAUCGCCGGACGGGGCCACAAUGUCUGCCCUGUCUCAACCUCCAGUAUUUAUGCUGCAGUAGUUUAUGUGUCGGGGGUCAGUCUGUAUAUCUGGAGUAUUUCUCCUGUCUUAUCCAGUGUCCUGUGUGAAUUUAAGUAUGCUCUUUCUAAUUCUCUCUUUUCCUUCUUUUUUUCUUUCUUACUUUCUUUCUUUCUCUCUGAGGACCUGAGCCCUACGACCAUGCCUCAGGACUACCUGGCCUGAUGACUCCUAGCUGUCCCCAGACCACCUGGUCGUGCUUCUGCUCCAGUUUCAACUGUUCUGCCUGCGGCUAUGGAACCCUGACCUUUUCACCGGAAGUGCUACCUGUCCCAGACCUGCUGUUUUCAACUCUCUAGAGACAGCAGGAGUGGUAGAGAUACUCUUAAUGAUCAGAUAUGAAAAGCCAACUGACAUUUACUCCUGAGGUGCUGACCUGUUGCACCCUCUACAACCACUGUGAUUAUUAUUAUUUGACCCUGCUGGUCAUCUAUGAACAUUUGAACAUCUUGGCCAUGUCCUCUUAUAAUCUCCACCCGGCACAGCCAGAAGAGGACUGGCCACCCCACAUAGCCUGGUUCCUCUCUAGGUUUCUUCCUAGGUUUUGGCCUUUCUAGAGAGUUUAUCCAAGCCACCGUGCUUCUACACCUGCAUUGCUUGCUGUUUGGGGUUUUAGGCUGGGUUUCUGUACAGCACUUUGUGACAUCAGAUGAGGUAAGAAGGGCUUUAUAAAUACAUUUGAUUGAUUGAUUGAUUGAUGGUUAAGGGAGGUGAUACGUGAGAGUUGUUUUGAUAAAUGUUGUAUUGAUUGUAUAGAUAUUAUUUAUUGUAUGUUCAUGUUCACACAGACCCUGGUCUCAAUGGUGACCCAUCCCGCAUAAAACAGAUAAAUCAAAUCAUAUGUCAUAUCAGUCAUAUCAGUCAUAUCAGUCAUAUCAGUCAUAUCAGUCAUAUAUCAGUCAUAUCGAUCAUAUCACAGUCAUAUCACAGUCAUAUCAGACAUAUCACAGUCAUAUCAGUCAUAUCACAUUCGUAUCAGUCAUAUCAGUCAUAUCAGUCAUAUCACAUUCAUAUCAGUCAUAUCACAUUCAUAUCAGUCAUAUCACAGUCAUAUCAGUCAUAUCAGUCAUAUAAGUCAUAUCACAGUCAUAUCAGUCAUAUCAGACAUAUCACAGUCAUAUCAGUCAUAUCAGUCAUAUCACAUUCGUAUCAGUCAUAUCAGUCAUAUCAGUCAUAUCACAUUCAUAUCAGUCAUAUCACAUUCAUAUCAGUCAUAUCACAGUCAUAUCAGUCAUAUCAGUCAUAUCACAGUCAUAUCAGUCAUAUCAGUCAUAUCACAAUCAUAUCAGUCAUAUCAGUCAUAUCAGUCAUAUCACAGUCAUAUCAGUCAUAUCACAGUCAUAUCAGUCAUAUCAGUCAUAUCAGUCAUAUCACAGUCAUAUCAGUCAUAUCAGUCAUAUCAGUCAUAUCACAGUCAUAUCAGUCAUAUCACAUUCAUAUCAGUCAUAUCAGUCAUAUCACAGUCAUAUCAGUCAUAUCAGUCAUAUCAGUCAUAUCACAGUCAUAUCAGUCAUAUCAGUAACAUCAGUCAUAUCAGUCAUUUCAGUCAUAUCAGUCAUAAUCAGUCAUAUCAGUCAUAUCAGUCAUAUUACAGUAAAGCCAUCUCCAACAUAUCUCUCUGAAAAUGUGUCCAUAGUGAUUUCUCUUCCCCUCUUGUCUCUCCUUUAUAGUGA